rnacentral:sRNA from 1 species
GAUGUCAUAAAGAAGGCAAGUGCGGGAGGCAGUCCUCUAGCCACAGUGUCCAUUGCUGCUAUGAUCUGUUGUCAUCGACCACGAAUACUGCUUUGGGGUCGCAGACCAAGCACUAUCAUGCGCUGUCCUUGACAGCAGGGAGUUCCAGGAUUUUCAACCACUUCAGAAGACACUAUGGUAGCUUGCGUCUUUGGUUCUUUGUGGCUAAAUUGGGCCAGUUGAGACUUUCAUCAGGAUGCUGAAAGGUGACAUGAGUCAGGGAAGUGAUUUUCUAAGAACUCUAUUAGUGCAGUGUGUCCAGGAGAGCGUCUUUACCACACCCCAUAGAAACUGAUCUGUCAGCUCCUCUGCCAGCGAGGGAUACAGCGCCGCUCACAGUACAGACUAAAAAGAACAUCCUCCACAUUAUGUAUGACCCAAGUAAAAAGUAAAAACUGGAACAAUAACAACAGGCAAACAACCUUCAGUGGAUCCAAAUAAGAUGUUUCUGAAAGCCUUUGAGCCAUACAUAGCAGGCUGCAGGCAGUUCCGAGGCCCGAUACAAGGUGGAAAGUGCAUAACCAAUGGAACUGAACCCUUCUAAAGGUUUUGGAACACUGUUGGCCAUUUUUCUAAGGUUUGGAUGUGUUCAUUUAAGUCAAACAUCUAGUCAAAAUAUGCUACUGUUGCUUCUUAAGGGAUCGAGGCAUUAAAGUGUCCAAAUUAAAUAUAUAUGUUGGCAGGAGGAUGGUGACUAAAGAGACAAGAUAGCUACGAGAGUGGAUAUUUGAAGGGGCAAUGUGGAGUCUGAGAUAUAUUCCAUCUAGAUUUCAUGUAUUGCUGUUCUUUUCUUGUUAAAAUGCUGUUCCAAAAUCUCAAUAUGAUGUCAUUGCUUAUCAUCACAGCAGUUGGGAAAUGCACAUGGGUGACUUGAUGUGGGUGUGGUUUUCUAGUGGGCCAGCCUAGCAGAAUCAGUGAGUCCUGAGUCUCAGUAAGAGAUCUUGUUUCAAAAAUCGUGAGUGAGUGUGUGAGUCCUGAAGAACAAGAUCCAACAUGUAUCUCUGGCCUCUGCAUGCCACCAUGCACACAUGUGUACCCGUGUGCACACAUAUGGCUAUACAUGUCCUCCUUAAAUCAUUGUAAUCACCUUCAAAUGCUUUCAGCCAAGAGUUUACCCAAACCAUGACCACAUGGGAAGCAUGCAACACUGAGACUGUCUUCUACAAUCCAUCUUCCCUAACACAUCUAGCAGGGCUCUUGGUUUCUCUCUGUCUCUCUCCCUCUCCCUCUCCUACCCACUCUCUCUCUCCCACACUAUCACACUACUCAAUUUUCUCUUUCAUCCCCAUGCUUUUAUCAUUCAUAAGUGCUAACAUUUCUUGUUUUAUACAGACACUGUUACUUGAUAGACGGUAAAAACAAUUUUUGAGAACAUGAAGACUAUUGGAUGGGAACGGUGUUAACUCAAACAUAUCUGAAAAAGCAGGUUUUUGUUUAAAGUCAUUUUCCAUGAUUCCAAACUCCUUUCUUGGUACUAAUUUCCCUAGCUUCUCUUGCUGCCUUCACUGUUAGUCUCCUUGUCUAAUUAUUUACAGCAGUAAGACUUUCCCAUCAUUCUUGAUUUAAUUUCUUAAUUUAUUCCUUCUUCCAUCCUUAGGAUAUUUAUUGGGUAACCAAAGGGUGAGUGGAGAUUUUUAUGCAGGUCACACCUUCCCGUGAAUAACAAUCUUGGUGGCAGGGAAGUCAGGUUCCUUCUACAGAGAUUAAAAGCCUUACAUCUGCAGAGGUAUUUAAUAACGUAAGGACAUUGGGAUGUUGUCUUGCUAACUUUUAAAGGUAAUUAAAGCUGUAACAGUUCAGGCUCUCCAUUGAUAGGAGUAGAACAUUCUCGAAGCUGCAAGUUGGAGGAGAAGAAGCCAUCCCAAACCUUGCAAGCAAGCAACUCUGAUAUAACUAGGCAGUGAGCUCAUAAAUGAAAUGUAGCUCGCGGAGUCACUGUGCUCAGUGAAUUUUGAAGGUUAAACAUUUCAGUUGUUAAUUUGCUCUUAUUAUUUUAAGUCAGGACAUGCGUAGACUUCAGUUUAUUGAGGUACGUGACUAAUGAAUAUAUGGCAUUUUUACAUACGGGCUAAAAUCCAAAGCAUUCAGUAUACAAAAACACCGAAGGAUUUGUCUAUGUUUAAUCACAGUUACUAAUAAAUUAAAAAACAUAACCAUAAGAUUUCAAAAUGUACUGUGGCUAAGAAAUUCUUACAGAUAGUAGCCUUUAGAUUAGUUCCACAAGGUUCCUUAGAAUAACCCAUACUAUGCCAUAUCCCCCACACAUAGUUCAAAUAUUAAGUCAUCGUUUAUAAGCUUCUUAUAAUUGGUAGCCCCUUAAUUUUUAUCUUUUAAAAAUUAGUUCACAAAGUAAUUGAACUUUUGUGAGUAGUCAUCAUACCUAUUUUAUCUUGGUUGAUUCUUGUCUCUUCCCCAUUGUACCCGUAAUAUGCUUUUUCUAGAAAUCUAACAUUUCCUCUACUGCUCAUCCAUCCAAUCCUUUGCCAAGGGUUCCUUCCCUUUUUUGGUUACAGUGUAGAAUGAGAAGUAUCAUGAAGAAAGGAAAUAGCAAAUGCUCCAGAAUAGUGAACUAGUCUUUUGUUUGUUUUUUUUUGUUUGUAUGGUUGGUCGGUUUUGGUAUGGUUUGGAUUGGUUUUGUUUGAUAACUGUGCCAAAUAUUUUCAAGAAUUAUCUGGAUACUUCACCUUAUUUCUUUGCAACUCACUGCUUACAUUAGUGUGAAGAGGGAAUAAGGAGAGGGGCUUAGCACUCCUGGCUUCCACUUUCUGGGAAUGUUUAAAAUAAAUUACCCUGCUUUUCAAGUAUGCCACACUGGGUAUCAUUCAUUUAC